GAUGAAGAACGUAGCGAAAUGCGAUAAGUAAUGUGAAUUGCAGAAUUCAGUGAAUCAUCGAAUCUUUGAACGCACAUUGCGCCCGCCAGUAUUCUGGCGGGCAUGCCUGUUCGAGCGUCAUUACAACCCUCAGGCCCCCGGGCCUGGCGUUGGGGAUCGGCGGAGCCCCCCGUGGGCACACGCCGUCCCCCAAAUACAGUGGCGGUCCCGCCGCAGCUUCCAUCGCGUAGUAGCUAACACCUCGCGACUGGAGAGCGGCGCGGCCACGCCGUAAAACACCCAACUCUUCUGAAGUUGACCUCGAGUCAGGUAGGAAUACCCGCUGAACUUAAGCAUAUCAAUAAGCGGAGA
rnacentral:misc_RNA from 1 species